rnacentral:rRNA from 1 species
UAUCCUACGGGACGCAGCAGUGGGGGAUAUUGCACAAUGGGGGAAACCCUGAUGCAGCGACGCCGCGUGAGUGAAGAAGUAUUUCGGUAUGUAAAGCUCUAUCAGCAGGGAAGAAAAUGACAGUACCUGACCAAGAAGCCCCGGCUAACUACGUGCCAGCAGCCGCGGUAAUACGUAGGGGGCAAGCGUUAUCCGGAUUUACUGGGUGUAAAGGGAGCGUAGACGGUUAUGUAAGUCUGGAGUGAAAGCCCGGGGCCUAACCCCGGGGCUGAUUUGGAAACUGUGUAUCUGGAG